rnacentral:misc_RNA from 1 species
AAGUCGUAACAAGGUUUCCGUAGGUGAACCUGCGGAAGGAUCAUUAACGAAUAUCUAUGGCGUUGGUUGUAGCUGGCUUCUAGGAGCAUUGUGCACGCCCGUCAUUCAUAUCACCUUUCCACCUGUGAACUAUUUGUAGAUCCUGGAUCCCUCUCGCUUUGCUCGCAUGGCGGAUGCAAGGAUUGCUGUGCCUCUAAAAGCCAGCUCUCUUUGAAUUUCCAGGUCUAUGUCUUUUUACACACCCCAGUGCAUAACGCAGAAUGUAUUAAAUGGGCCGUAAGGCCUAUAAACACUAUACAACUUUCAGCAACGGAUCUCUUGGCUCUC